UGCAGGGCUCCUCAGCGUGCUGGGCACAUUUGCGGACUGGAAGACGUCAAGACAAGCCGGACGGUCUCCUGUUCGAUGGUUCUGCUGCCCUCCUUUUAGGUGAAAACUACAGCAGGAGUUGAAGAAACCACAGGAUUGCAUCUCGCUGCUGGAAGGGCCACCGAAGGUGUGCCACGGACCCUCUCGCCUCCACUCUGCCUUCGGGGACAUCACACAGGAAGUGCGAAAUCGGCCGCAGUGAGAAUAUUUAUCCUGGAGAAAUCAACAGACACUGGAAAUCAGGACUUCUUCUUCCGUCCAGAGGGACCGUUGUUGAACAUUCAGCCAAGACACUCUGCGAUCUAGACCCUUAUGCUUCACCCCUACUCCACAGUCAGGAGACCCCCCUUCCCUCUCCACCCUAAACCAGGUGCCUCCCAUGGAGAAACAGAGUCAGAGUCUGGGCUCCGAGGCCUCAGGCAGAGCAGCUGGUGGUGAGAGGCAAAGGCUAGAAUUGGGACAAUUAAGCAAAAGUCAUGUGGCCAGUCUUCAUUACAGACCCGGAGCCCCAGGGCCCAGGACAGCAGCCUGAAGGUUCAGGUCAAGUGCUGAGUAGCCAAGGACUCAGACCAGGCUGGGAGCCUAUCAAAAGGAAAGACAAAGCCCUGGCCGUCUCUGACAUUUUAAAGACAAGCACAGUGCCUGGCACACAGUGGGCCCUGCGCAGAGCUCAUCGGAUCCGUGAUUGAAUGAACAAGGGCACAGAUGGGUGAAUACGUGAACAGAAGCAAGUGUGGAAUAAAUUGCAGAGAAAGACAUCCAUCGGUUGCACAGCUGGGCCACUGACGACUUCUCAUUUACACUUCAGGCUCCGCACGAAAUUCAAAUUCUCAUUACAGGACCGCAUAAAACACAAUCCGCACUUUCAACAACGACCCUGAGAAAUGCAGUGGCUGGAAAACCUUUAAUGCGUUUUUCCUAUUGAUUACAGCGCUGCAAAAGGGAAUGAAAAGAUUUAGCUUCAAACACUUUCAUGUGAAAGGCUAAAAGGAAGCAAAUCCAGCAUGGUAUAGCGGAGCCCGGGGCUCUUUCAGACGUGCGGCGGCCACCGACACGUCGUGUUUGCGGCUCGCCCCAUGAUAUGUUGCCGUGCCAACGUACAUUCUGAGUCAUCCAAGCAGAUUUAAUGCCAUUGCCACAAUGACGUUCUCUCUGCUGUUUCUUCUAAAACUUGUUAAAGGGAAGAUUCCGACCUACCUAGGAAAUGAUUUUAAUCAGUUUAGUUCAGGAAAUAGCUAUGGAAAUUCAGACUUCUCCAUUCUGUGGCUUCGGCACGUUACCUUGUGACAAACGGCUGAUGAUCACCGCGUGUCCCCAACACGUCGGGAGACAUGACGUGAUUGGCAGCCGUCCUGACUCCCACAUGGAAAGGUCUGAGGAAAUAAGCAUAUGAAAAGCCAAAAAACUGAAGCUUUUGAAAAAUAAGAAAAACGCCAAAAUUGCCCAUCACUCUUCUCAUACCAUAAGAUGACCAUCCCCUCCUUCGGUAAGAAUCCGCCCUGGUGGCCAUUUCUCUCAGUCCUUGCCAAGCAUGGCCCUGGGGCAUCUAGACAGAGGCCACGUGUACCGUGUCAUGCGGCCAUAC